CCUACGGGAGGCAGCAGUGGGGAAUAUUGCACAAUGGGGGAAACCCUGAUGCAGCGACGCCGCGUGAGUGAAGAAGUAUUUCGGUAUGUAAAGCUCUAUCAGCAGGGAAGAAAUAGACGGUACCUGACUAAGAAGCACAGUCUCACUACGUUCCAGCAGCCGCGGUAAUACGUCGGGGGCCAGCGUUAUCCGGAUUUACUGGGUGUAAAGGGAGCGUAGUCGGCAGCGAAAGUCUGGAGGGAAAUCACAUGGUUUAACCAUGGAAAUGCUUUGGAGACUGUGCAGCUAGAGUGCAGGAGAGGUAAGCGGAAUAACUAGUGUAGCGGUGAAAUGCGUAGAUAUUAGGAGGAACACCAGUGGCGAAGGCGGCUUACUGGACUGUAACUGACGUUGAGGCUCGAAAGCGUGGGGAGCAAACAGGAUUAGAUACCCUUGUAGUC
rnacentral:rRNA from 1 species